GCAUCCAUUUUUUAAUGGAUAGGACAAAGGUCUUCUAAACAUUUGGUAUAGGUUCAAAUCCUAUUGAAUGCA
rnacentral:tRNA from 1 species